GACGAACGCUGGCGGCGUGCCUAAUACAUGCAAGUCGAGCGAAUCGAUGGGAGCUUGCUCCCUGAGAUUAGCGGCGGACGGGUGAGUAACACGUGGGUAACCUGCCUGUAAGACUGGGAUAACUUUGGGAAACCGGAGCUAACACCGGAUACUUUCUUUUCACGCAUGAGGGAAGAUGGAAAGAUCGUUCUGCUCUCACUUACAGAUGGAACGGCGGCGGAUUAGCUAGUUGGUGAGGUAACGGCUCACCAAGGCAACGAUGCGUAGCCGACCUGAGAGGGUGAUCGGCCACACUGGGACUGAGACACGGCCCAGACUCCUACGGGAGGCAGCAGUAGGGAAUCUUCCGCAAUGGACGAAAGUCUGACGGAGCAACGCCGCGUGAGCGAAGAAGGCCUUCGGGUCGUAAAGCUCUGUUGUUAGGGAAGAACAAGUACGAGAGUAACUGCUCGUACCUUGACGGUACCUAACCAGAAAGCCACGGCUAACUACGUGCCAGCCGCCGCGGUAAAAC
rnacentral:rRNA from 1 species